GCCUGGAUACGGCCGGACACC
rnacentral:miRNA from 1 species